rnacentral:lncRNA from 10 species
GGAAACCAAUGGUACACACACUGCUUCAGGACUAUGACUGGAGCUUCUCUUCACUGCAAUAUAGAACAGCAUCAAAGGCAAAUAAGACCAAUAGAAUCACAUUGCUAAUACUGCCCUCAUUUCGUUGUGUGCACACCAUCAAACAGGCAGAUGAAGAGGAUCCUUGUCUUGGUAAGGGAAGAAGUCACCACACAUCCCAGCUGGAGGAGGGAACAUGACUGGCUCACUUCAGCACCCUCACCAUUGUUCCAGAUAUCCAAGGCCCUCCUUGGACCUCAACAAGACUUAAGCCGCUGCAGAGACGGUGUAAAUGUGGAGUGGCUGGUUGGGGACAGAGUGAAACUCCUGGAAUCAGAUGGUGAUCUGCUGAUAAGCUGGGUCUGUGCCAGCCAGCAGAGUCCAUGCGUGCAAGAGCCUGGAGUCUCCCCCUGUGAAGGCUUGGGGCUGGUUGGGCAGUAAGCCUCACAGUAAUCCUUAGUCCUGUUAGAUGGGAGUUCUAAAUUUAUUUUCAAAGAAUUAAUAUGUCAGUAUGUUCAAUUCUUUGCCUUCUACUUUUAAACUUAACUUCCUCAUAAAGCAACCUUUUUCCAUUACCUACCCCACCCUAACUCAUUCUGAUCACCUGCUCCACCCUAACUCAUUCUGACCACCUGCUCCACUCUAACUCAUUAGGAUUACCUGCUACCUGCUCUGCCCUGACUCCCGCCAAAGCUCUCAUCCCAUCAUUCUCUUUCAAUUAGCCAAUCGGAAUUAGUUUAGCCUGUGUGGUCUAACCCUAGCUAACAGGAGAAUGACACAGCGGCUGCAGCCAAGUUCGUCAGGGAUAAGAACCCCUUCCCCU